AUACGGUGGAUGCCUUGGCAGUUAGAGGCGAUGAAGGACGUGUAAGUCUGCGAAAAGCGUUGGUGAGCUGACAAAAAGCGUUAUAACCAACGAUGUCCGAAUGGGGAAACCCGGCACUUCGGUGUCAUCUGCAACUGAAUACAUAGGUUGCAGAAGCGAACGAGGGGAACUGAAACAUCUAAGUACCCUUAGGAAGAGAAAUCAAUUGAGAUUGCCUUAGUAGCGGCGAGCGAACGGGUAACAGCCGAUGGUUUAUGUUGUAGUGGAACGGUCUGGAAAGUCCGGCGAUACAGGGUGAUAGCCCCGUACACGAAGCAACAUUUAUCACAUAUUAAGUAGGUCGGGACACGUGUUAUCCUGACUGAAGAUGGGGGGACCAUCCUCCAAGGCUAAAUACUCCUAACUGACCGAUAGUGAACCAGUACCGUGAGGGAAAGGCGAAAAGAACCCCGGCGAGGGGAGUGAAAUAGAACCUGAAACCGUAUACGUACAAGCAGUGGAAGCCGACUUGUUCGGUGACUGCGUACCUUUUGUAUAAUGGGUCAGCGACUUAAUCUGGCGAGCGAGCUUAAGCCGUUAGGCGUAGGCGCAGCGAAAGCGAGUCUUAACUGGGCGCUUGAGUUCGUCGGAUUAGACCCGAAGCCGGGUGAUCUAGCCAUGGGCAGGCUGAAGGUGGGGUAACACCCACUGGAGGGCCGAACCCGAGAACGUUGAAAAGUUCCGGGAUGACCUGUGGCUAGGGGUGAAAGGCCAAUCAAACUCGGCAAUAGCUGGUUCUCCGCGAAAGCUAUUUAGGUAGCGCGUCGUGUCUCGCCUUCGGGGGUAGAGCACUGGAUGGGCUAGGGGGCCGCGAGGCUUACCAAACCUAACCAAACUCCGAAUACCGAAGAGCGCAAUCACGGCAGACAGACCAUGGGUGCUAAGGUCCGUGGUCGAGAGGGAAACAGCCCAGACCGCCAGCUAAGGUCCCCAAGUUACGGCUAAGUGGGAAAGGAUGUGGGAAGGCCAAGACAACCAGGACGUUGGCUUAGAAGCAGCCAUCGUUUAAAGAAAGCGUAAUAGCUCACUGGUCUAAAUAAGCCGUCCUGCGCCGAAGAUGUACCGGGGCUCAAGCCGUACACCGAAGCUGCGGAUGUCUUUCUUCUUCGGAAGGGAGGCGUGGUAGCGGAGCGUUCCGUAGGCCUGUGAAGGGAGACCCGCGAGGGCUCCUGGAGGCAUCGGAAGUGAGAAUGCUGACAUGAGUAGCGAUAAGGAGUGUGAGAAACACUCCCGCCGAAAGUCCAAGGGUUCCUGCGCAAGGCUAAUCCGCGCAGGGUGAGCCGGCCCCUAAGCCGAGGCCGAAAGGCGUAGGCGAUGGGAACCAGGUUAAUAGUCCUGGGCCUGCUGGGAUGUGACGGAUGGCGCUUGGUCGUUCCCGCUUAUCGGAUUGCGGGGGCGGCGGGCUCCGUUCCAGGAAAUAGCCCCAGCUUCAGACCGUACCCUAAACCGACACAGGUGGACUGGUAGAGGAUACCAAGGCGCUUGAGAGAACUGCGUUGAAGGAACUCGGCAAAAUACUCCCGUAAGUUCGCGAGAAGGGAGCCCUUGCCUUGGGCAACCAGGGUGAGGGGGCACAGAAAUGAGGGUGGCGACUGUUUACUAAAAACACAGGGCUCUGCGAAGCCGCUAAGGCGACGUAUAGGGUCUGACGCCUGCCCGGUGCCGGAAGGUUAAGAGGAGGGGUUCACGCCCUGAAUUGAAGCCCCGGUAAACGGCGGCCGUAACAAUAACGGUCCUAAGGUAGCGAAAUUCCUUGUCGGGUAAGUUCCGACCUGCACGAAUGGCGUAACGACUGCCCUACUGUCUCCAACGCAGACUCAGCGAAAUUGAACUCUCCGUGAAGAUGCGGAGUUCCCGCGGUCAGACGGAAAGACCCCGUGAACCUUUACUACAGCUUGGCACUGAACAUUGACCCUACAUGUGUAGGAUAGGUGGGAGGCUUUGAAGCAUAGUCGCCAGAUUAUGUGGAGCUGCCCUUGAAAUACCACCCUUGUAUGUUUGAUGUUCUAACAUUGCCCCCUAAUCGGGGGUGUGGACAGUGUCUGGUGGGUAGUUUGACUGGGGCGGUCUCCUCCCAAAGCGUAACGGAGGAGCACGAAGGUUAGCUAAUCACGGUCGGACAUCGUGAGGUUAGUGCAAAGGCAUAAGCUAGCUUAACUGCGAGACAGACACGUCGAGCA
rnacentral:rRNA from 1 species